CCCACCACUUUGAUCAGCUUUUGGCUUUAGCCAACGACCCUCCCGUCUCAGCCUACUCCGGAGCUGAAGAGCGGACCGUCGCCCAAUGACGCGCCGAGCUCCGGCCAAGAGUCCCGCCCCCUCCCUACGUUAGCCAAUCCAGGGUAAAAGGACGUCACUGUUGCCAUGGCAAUGCUGUUACCAACUCCGCUCAUUCUCCCUGCCACCCCUGCACUUCUGGGUGCGGCACGAGACCAAGAGGCGCGCUCGACCUCCGUGGCGGUGGCCGAGUCUUCUACUGCAGCAGCCGCUGCAGAUGAUGGCCUGAUAUGAAGAAGCUGCUGAAGCAAGAGGGAGCACAUGGAACUUGGAGCCAGAAGAUCCUAAAUCGCAGCCUUACCAUUUAUUUGUGAUUUUACUUCAAAUACCCUGAUCCUCUCUGAACCGCAGUUUCCUAUACAUGUAACCUAUAAAAAUAAUCCCAACCUCAAAGAGUUGUUGUGGGGAUUAAAUGAGCUAAUGCAUGGGAAGAACAUAUAGCAAGUGUUCAGUAAGUAGUAGGGGUUUUUCCCUUCUUUCCCUAUGUUUGGGGGUGGAGCAGCAGACAAGGAGAGGGAUGCCUGUCUUGCUGCAAGGAGCCUUCGAGCCUUAUAAAAUGUUAGUGAA